AACGAUCAGCACCGGCCAAGCUGGCCUGGUUAAGGCCCUUUUGUUUCGGGAAACACUUUAUAUCAGGCGUCUGAAUUCUCUUCAUCGUCAGACCCCUUUUUCUCAGUUGAUUCACUUUUGAUCUCACGGUCCAGAUAUCAUUUGGAACAGCCCAUCUUCCACGCAAAAACAAUAGUAAACGGAGAAAUCCUCACGAUCCCUAAAUCCCGCAGAUUAUCCUCGCACCCGUUUCCUUCCUCCACUCCCGUCGCCGCCGUUUCCUUAUUCGUCGCCCGAUUAGUGCUCGCCAUUCUUCACCACGCCGUGGAUGAGCUGCUCACCUCCCCUUCGUCCCUGGGCUUCUUGUGGAAGGCUGAGCUGUCGAUCUGUCUGCAGCGGUAGCAUAUCCUCCCUCAGGCGGCCAUGAUGGCCUUCUUAGAUCGAUGCUUCCUAUAAAUCCGCUACGUGCUUGUACUUGCGUAUGGAUUGGCAAUACAAGCAUGCUUCUCAGACACAUCCACCAGAUUCCAAAUGAGCUUCUUUGUUGUCCGCAAGAUGGGAUGCAAUGACGUUGAAUGUGCUAUAACUGAGACAAAUGAGUCACUGUUCUAAGUUGUCUGUUGUACUGGAACAACAGUUGUCCAUGACCAGCUUGUGAAAAGUAUUGCUGUAAUAGGCUUCUGUUUAAUUGCAAAGAGAAUUGUAAUAUUUUCUGCUUACCAUAUCAAACAAAUUCGAGGCUUAA